UACGUAGGGUGCGAGCGUUAAUCGGAAUUACUGGGCGUAAAGCGUGCGUAGGCGGUUGUACAAGUCAGGUGUGAAAUCCCCGGGCUUAACCUGGGAACUGCACUUGUGACUGUAUGACUGGAGUACGGCAGGGGGGGAUGGAAUUCCGCGUGUAGCAGUGAAAUGCGUAGAUAUGCGGAGGAACACCGAUGGCGAAGGCAGCCCGCUGGGAUGUGACUGACGCUCAUGUACGAAAGCGUGGGGAGCAAACAGG
rnacentral:rRNA from 1 species